GCUCUGGUGGCCUAGUGGUUAGAGUGUCUGUCUUGGAUGCAUGGGGUCAUUGGUUCGAUCCCCAGCCAAAUCA